CAAUUAUACAGCGAAACUGCGAAUGGCUCAUUAUAUAAGUUAUCGUUUAUUUGAUAGUACCUUACUACUUGGAUAACCGUGGUAAUUCUAGAGCUAAUACAUGCUAAAAAUCCCGACUUCGGAAGGGAUGUAUUUAUUAGAUUAAAAACCAAUGCCCUCUGGGCUCUUUGGUGAUUCAUGAUAACUUUUCGAAUCGCACGGCCUUGCGCCGGCGAUGGUUCAUUCAAAUUUCUUCCCUAUCAACUUUCGAUGUUUGGGUAUUGGCCAAACAUGGUUGCAACGGGUAACGGAGGGUUAGGGCUCGACCCCGGAGAAGGAGCCUGAGAAACGGCUACUACAUCCAAGGAAGGCAGCAGGCGCGCAAAUUACCCAAUCCCGACACGGGGAGGUAGUGACAAUAAAUACUGAUACAGGGCUCUUUUGGGUCUUGUAAUUGGAAUGAGUACAAUUUAAAUCCCUUAACGAGGAACAAUUGGAGGGCAAGUCUGGUGCCAGCAGCCGCGGUAAUUCCAGCUCCAAUAGCGUAUAUUAAAGUUGUUGUGGUUAAAAAGCUCGUAGUUGAACCUUGGGCCUGGCUGGCCGGUCCGCCUCACCGCGUGUACUGGUCCGGCCGGGCCUUUCCCUCUGUGGAACCUCAUGCCCUUCACUGGGUGUGACGGGGAAACAGGACUUUUACUUUGAAAAAAUUAGAGUGCUCCAGGCAGGCCUAUGCUCGAAUACAUUAGCAUGGAAUAAUGAAAUAGGACGUGUGGUUCUAUUUUGUUGGUUUCUAGGACCGCCGUAAUGAUUAAUAGGGACAGUCGGGGGCAUCAGUAUUCAAUUGUCAGAGGUGAAAUUCUUGGAUUUAUUGAAGACUAACUACUGCGAAAGCAUUUGCCAAGGAUGUUUUCAUUAAUCAGGAACGAAAGUUAGGGGAUCGAAGACGAUCAGAUACCGUCGUAGUCUUAACCAUAAACUAUGCCGACUAGGGAUCGGACGAUGUUAUUUUUUGACGCGUUCGGCACCUUACGAGAAAUCAAAGUG
rnacentral:rRNA from 1 species